UACGUAGGCAGCGAGCGUUGUUCGGAGUUACUGGGCGUAAAGGGUGUGUAGGCGGUUAUUUAAGUUUGGUGUGAAAUCUCCCGGCUCAACCGGGAGGGUGCGCCGAAUACUGAAUGACUUGGAGUGCGGGAGAGGUGAGUGGAAUUCCUGGUGUAGCGGUGAAAUGCGUAGAUAUCAGGAGGAACACCGGUGGUGUAGACGGCUAUCUGGACCGUAACUGACGCUGAGGCACGAAAGCGUGGGUAGCAAACAGG
rnacentral:rRNA from 1 species